rnacentral:rRNA from 1 species
CAGUCGCCACGGUAAAACGUAGGGGGCAAGCGUUAUCCGGAAUUACUUGGUGCAAAGGGAGCGUAGACGGUUAAACAAGUCUGAAGUGAAAUGCCGGGGCUCAACCCCGGAGCUGCUUUGGGAACUGUAGAACUGGAGUGUCGGAGGGGUAAGCGGAAUUCCCAGUGUAGCGGUGAAAUGCGUAGAUAUUGGGAGGAACACCGGCGGCGAAGGCGGCUUACUGGACGACAACUGACGUUGAGGCUCGAAGGCGUGGGUAGCAAACAGGAUUAGAUACCCCAGUAGUCCCUGUCUCUUAUAC